GUUAUACUGGGUCUGCUACUGUUUGGUGCAUCUGCCCAGAACCAGAUGGAGGGGUUCAUGCCAGUAUCCCUCUCCCUUAUGUAUAUGGCCACAGUGCACUCCCGUAUGGUUAAGGGCUUUCUUUUCGGGGUCACUGUACCCAUGUUAGCCCUGCCCUGGCUGUUUCUGUUCAUCACAACACUUUUGGUCCCACACACUGUCUUCCUUUGCAAUGUCAUGGCCAUCAUCGCAGGGGGAUCUACGGAAAGGGCUGGCUCUCACUUCUGGACAUGUCCGAUGCCAGGGCAUCAGUGCUGGACAAGAAGAUGCCUUUCAGGCGGCUGAGGAACAUUGAUGUCCUGUAUGUCCCUGCAUCAAUAGAGGCGAGAAGGAAGACGGUCCACCCACCAAUCAUUCCAACCCCAGGCUCCUACCCAGUCCAAGCCUACGCUCCAGUGUCUUCUACCUCCAACCUACAGGCUACCGAGACCACACCAAAGACAUUUGAAGGCUGGGCCCACUCCUACUAUACACAGGGGAGCCCUGUUCAGGUCUCAGGUUAUUACGGACACAACCAUGGAUAUGGCCUCAAGCUUUGGGCCAAGUUACG
rnacentral:lncRNA from 1 species